GGUGAGUUGUUUGAAAGGAUCCCUGGGUCAGUUGAAAGCCCACUCGGUUGAAGAUCAGAUCACUUCUUCUGUUCUGGAUAUUUUCAGACCUGUUGCGUAAUGUGCUGCUGGUUUUGCAGAAGGUAAAAUCAUGGGAAAGAGGGGAGACAUUAUGAAAAUUCAUGCCCCCGCAUGAAUGGUUAUUUUACCUUUCUCCCCUUCCCCCCCCUUCUUUGGUAUAAUUUUUUAUUAAGUUUUUCUGUUUUACAUUUUAGAAUAUUCAUUUAAACAACCUUAAAAUAUCAAUGACUUCCCUUCUCUUUCCAUGGUUCAUUUCACAUACCAUAAAUACCUGCAUAUUGUGCUUAAACUAAACCAUUCAGUAUUCCAUUGUUACAUCCAUGAAAACUGAUUUACACUGUUGAAUUUAUCUUAAUGUUGCCAACGUUUUGAAACGUACACAAUUUUAACCCAUAUAUUCAAUAAACAUUUUCCAAUCUUUUUAAAACAUAUGUUCUUCUUGUUCUCUUUUUCUAUAUGUUAAGUCUGCAAGCUGCACAUAUUCCAUCACUUUUAGCAGGGAUCUUACUUGUCUUCCAUUUUUGGGCUAACGAAGCACAGGCCACAGUAGUAGCAUACAUAAAUACCCCCCCACUCCAACUGAAAGUGUUCAGCUAUCAGUGAUGCAAUGGGAAAUACAUGUCUUCAUUCUUCCUCUGUUAAAAUGCUGAACCCCAAGAGAGCCCCCAAAUCAAGGGCUGGAGACCUAUAGCACAGACUUGAGACCCCUGCUUCUCCCUUCUUCCACAGAAGAGCCAGAAUCUCCUUCCUUCUCCCUCCCAAGGGUAGCCUGGAACUUUUGAGUUCUUGAAAAUGGCCAGGAGAGAAUUUUUCUCCAAACAAGACCCAGAAUGGCAGUGGUGGACUUUGGGCUCUCAAAUUCCAGUGCCACCCUGUGCAACUCCCCCCCCUCCCCCGCCGUCCACUGCCACCACUUGUGCUCUGUUCCAAAGCAUUGUUUCGGCACCCGCUGCAGUGUGGCACCCAGUGCAGCCACACCAGUCACGCCACCCUAAAACCAGCAGAGCCAUUGGGUGCUUCCUGGUAUCUAGGCUGGUGAGUGGCCAUAGCUCUUCCCUUGCCUGCAUGAACCCCAAGUGCAGUAGCAUCUCCAGGAAGGCCUGGGAAGGAGAGACCCCUGCUUGAGGCACUGGAGAGCCACCUGCCAUGGAGGUCACUUUGGGCCAGGUCUAUCUGGACAAGGCAGCUCCUUGGCGCCCCACCAGUGGCCACUCUGGGCUUUGCUCCCAGUUCAGGAGGAGAGCAGGAUCCAUCUCUCCUUGUAAGGCAGAGCCCAAGUCUUUUUUGAAAGAACAACCCACUUCAGCUGCCUCUUUUCCAGACCCUGCUAGGAUUCAGCCUCAACCUGAUGUUCUUCUUCUUCUGCCCUCUUUGCACAGAGCUGUUUAUGACGGAGGCCUCCCACCUACACUCGCUGCAUAGUCUGGUGGUCCUGUUUUACCAAUGGAUGUAUAAAUAGAAACUCCUUUAACAGGAGGAGCUGGCCCUCAUUUUCCCCAACCUACAAGAAUUGCUCAAGAUCCACAGUAAGUCUGCUUCCCCUCCAGACCUGUCCCCAUUCUGUGGCUGGCCCAGGCCUCCGCUUCUUCCUGGGCGGGUCAGGAGCAGAGGGAGAAAGGCCAAAAAUCGGAGCACAGCACCCAAAGAGCUCUGCAGCAGGAUCAGACCCAAGGGACCCAGCCAGUCUUGCAGCCUGUUUUCAGGGGGGCCCACUAGCAGCAGGGCAGGAGCGCAAGAACAAUGCCCCCCAGGAAUGGGGAUUAUUCAGAGGCAUCCACUGCCUUGGUCAGGGGAGGAUGGAGGUGGCAGCCAGUUGCUGCCUCUAAGUCUAACCUACCUCACAGUGUUGUUGUAGUGGGAUGUGUUACAUCAGUGCAGUCAGUUGCAACAUGCUUUACUUCCUAGAGUGGACAGAGACGGGUGUGUGGGUGUGUAACUUCCUGUCCCUGCUGUAAGUUAUUCAGCAGAUGAGUGUGACUCUAUAAAAGCAGAGUCACACAGCCAUUUGGUUCAGUUCAGUUCCUGUUCGAUUCAACUCUCAGUUAAGUCUCAUCCAUUUUGUUGUCUGCUGACUCCGAAUGCCACCACCACCGGCUGACCAAUUUCCUGGACUGCAAGAUGCAGCGCCCGGCCAGUUACCCUCUGCUGCUGAAUAAUAUCACCCAGCACCCUCUUCCUCCUUCUCCAUAUAUUUGUGUGGUGGGGAAGGUGUCCCAGGAGAGCUGUGCCUCUCCAUGAUUCCAUGUUGAUAUGCUUCCUAACUCUGGGAGGUUGUGAGCUGCAUUGAGCCUGCCUUACUGGGGAAAGCCAGCGCCCAAGAGGGUGAUGGUGGGGGGAGAGAUGAUGUCCUGUGUUUCUACAACCCCGUCUGCUUGAAUUAGUGCCCUGUGGGGCUGUGUCUGCAGGGCAUAGGUGUUGUUCAGCAGCUCACUUUAAUAUCAGCAAACAAGGAUCCCUUUGCCUCAUGCAUCUGGGCUGCUGCUGCUCAUCUGCCUUUCAGACCUAUUUGCUUUUCAAUGCAGCCGUGUUCCUAGUUUGUGCUGGGAUCUGCGUUGGGUUUCAAGCUAAUAAAAUGAAACCAACUUUGCAGGCAGCCUCUAUGCCUCUCUCUCUCUCUCUCUCUCUCUCUCUCUCUCUCUCUCUCUCUCUCUCUGCACCUUCCUUGCUCAGAGUCAAUUUGUGAGCACCAGUGCCUUUGCCUGGCAUGCAAGGAGUGUAAGGAGUUCCUUGAAGGAGGAGCUGAGGCAGGCAGAGUACCACCAGCAGCUGGCUGCCUACCAAAAGUGCCUGGAUGCCAGGUCUCUGUGGAAGAACGGUCACCCACUGGCCAGGCAUUUCCAGGUAGGGCCUCCCCUUUGCCCUCCCCUCCAAUCCCUGAAAUAUACUUGGAGUCGAGUGUGGAUUUCAUGCUCUUUAUUCAGCUCAUAGUAGUGAGGAAUGGAAGUUCUCCCGAAAUGUCUGCUUUAUAUACAUUAUUUACACAAUGGGUGCCACAUGAUUGGCUAAUUCUGGGAUUCUCCUGUAGGCCAAUCAGGUUGCGACUUCACUUCCACCUGAAGUUGGAUUGGGUGGCUCCUGCGGACCAAUCAGAGUGCUGCAUUCUGAAUCCUCCUGUUCUAGGACCAAUCAGACUGCUGCAAUUUGGAUCCUAUUCAACUCAGUACAUAACACUGGCCUUGUCCUGCUCUUCCCCUCUGUGAAAUGCUGCCUUUUUCUGCCCCUGCUGUGCAGCACCUUGACCUGAGGGAGCCCCAACUCAUCCAGGAGGGGCCUUUGCAUCUGUGCAUCAGCAAGAAGAAGGCUGUGGGCACAUGAAAGAAACACCCUCUUCUGCCAAGACACACACACAUACGUGGCACAGGCCACUCAGAGUGGAGGGGCAUGCGCUCUUCCUCUGCAGUUGGCUUUGCCACUUAGACCCCCCUCCUUUUCUAUUAAAACAGGAAUCGAAAAUGGGAGGGGUUGUGGCUUUGUGGCAGAAAGACUCUGGAGUCUAAAAGCCCUGGAGAGCCACUGCUCUGCCAGCGAGAGACAGUUUGGUAAUCAAAACUGUGACAAUUCCUUCACCGAUGACUGAUAAUUUUCAUUAAAAUGUAGCUUUAGAAAAAGGAUGGUUUCUGGUCAUGGUGGUGCCAGAGUCACUGGAGUAAAGUCUGCCAAACCUGGGCAAAGGAGCAACUGCAUUCAAGAUUUCAGCAUAUAUCUGGACAGUCAAAGAAGUUUCUGUCAAAGUACCCUCCUGAGUAUAACCAGUCAGGAAUCCCAAGGUAUGGAUUGGCGCCCUGAUGAAACCAUCUUGUUCUCCAUUCGGCUUCAUCUUCUGCACGUUCCUUACAAGCAGCUCUCUGCUCCUCUUCUAGUCUCUCUUUCUCUUUGCUAGCCAGAUCAAUUUCUCCAUUCUCCAUGUGUCUGAUGUCUGGCCUCAGUCGACAGUCAGUGGGAGCCAAUACUUCUUCCGUGCCUUUUUCUAGUUCCUUUGACGGCAAAAUUGGUGAAAUUGUACAUCUGGGAUGAAUGUGGUGGUCUAGCAAGAGGAGACAGGGCUGAGCUAGACAGAUCAAGCAAAGGUCACUGGGCAGCUUUCGAAAAGAUUAAGAGAACCAAGCAGUUUUAGAACACAAUCCCUAAAACAUAGUAGAACCUUAGCUGUCGAAGCAUCCAACUUUCAUGGGUAGCUAGAGCUCCCAUACAACAAGCCACAGAUCACAACUCUCCCAGAGAGACCGUGUUUGGCUGGAAGAAGGGCCUUUGUAGCUCCAUGGCAGAACACCUGCUUGGCAUGCGGAAGGUCCCAGCUUCAGUGGCAUCUCCAGGUAGGGCUGAGGGGAAGACUCCCUGCCUGGGACCCUGGAGAGCCAUUAUGGCCAGGCAGAGCUAGAUGGGCUCAAGGGCCUGAUUUGGUCCAGCCUCCUUUGUCUCUCUGACUUGCUGGGCCUUUGACCUGGUUCUGCAGCCUGGCACCUAGAUGUUCUCCUCAGGAUAAGUGGAGCGGGUGAGCAACAAUCCCCCACUCUGUCUGUCUGUCUGUCUCUGUGUUAGGCCUGAACGCCCUGCUUCUGAAAGAUCUCAUAGUGUUCCUGAAGCCGAAGAGUCGGUGUCUGCAGUUGAAAUGCUUCUGAAAGAAGGCAGGGGUCUCCCUUUUAAGCCCCAUUGUUCCCCUCUCCCCUUCAUAUUUCAGUUGUACCUUCAGCAAGUAGCAUCCCUACACUGUCAUAGCUGUCAACCGUCCCUUAUUUGGCGGGAAAGUCCCUUAUCCCAGCGCCAUGUCCCGCUGCUGUUCCUUAUUGAUGAUGUCCCUUAAAUUUCCCGGGUUUCAAAGGAAGCAGCUCCUCUCCCUCCCCCCUCCCUGGCAGGGAGGAGGGAGGCUCCAACUUUGUUGCUUGGCUGUGUUGCUCACCCAAUAAGGAGUCUAAGAACGACGGGGGGUGGAGCUUGCAUGCCUUGUGCCGAUCAAAUCGUCCGUGUUGCCUGGGGACUCGCCUUUGCUCAGCGCUUCCCAGCGGAGAGGUGACGAUGGUUGUCCUUGCUGCAUCCCCUUUGCCGGGUUGCCGCGCUAUGGGAACCACCGUUUGAGGCUUCGUUUGGCUGCUGGCAGGGCUUUCUGCCUUUGGCUCGGAGGGGCUCAGAAGUUGAACAUACCUGUGCUCGGAAUCGGAUGGAUACGUCAUCGACGGCCCACUCACCCUUGCCGGGGAAAAGGUCUGUCUGGAGCGGGGGCACAUGGUGGGGGGAAAGGAAAGGAGCUGGUUGAGUACAAUGGUGGGCGGCGAUCUCUUGGGGGGGGGAUUUUGGAUUUGUUUUGGAGGCUCCUUCGACUGACUGUUAUGGAGGAAAGGAAAGGAGCUGGUUGUCUAAAAUCCCUUAUUUUGGCUGCUGAUCCCUUAUUUUUGAGGCUGCUGGUCCCUUAUUUUCAAAUCUGUAAGUUGACAGCUAUGCCCUACACUGUGCAUGCGCACACAACACAAACACAUGCGGAUGCCAUGGUCCUGUCCUGGUUGCUCUGCAGUCAUUAAGCCUUGAACUCUUCCAUAUCGUCAGGGCUGAUGCCUUCUAUUCGGCAAAGCUUACAACUGAAGUCUUAAACUGACUUAUAGGAACAACUUUUAAAACUUAAUCUACAAAGAUAGGAUAAAACAAAGUGGUUAAAAGCAUGCAUAUACCAUAAGAGGUCCCAUCUGGGCUUGGGGUGGUGAAGGGUUAAUGCCCCCCACGCCCACUGAUGGAUGUUUCUGUCCCUCAUUUUUAGGCCACUGAUCCAAGCUGAUUUCGUCUCCCCUCCGAUGACCCUCAGGAGCAAGAGUCGAAGGAGGACAAUGGUUUCUGGUGAGUUGCUGGUGUUGCUGCAGCAUGGGGGUGUCUCCCAUGAUGGGGGGGGGGGCAGUCUCAGCCACCGAGGUCUGGCAGGGCUGCAAGGCAUUCUGGGAGUGUCCUGCCCACCCCCUUCCCUCCUCCUCCCGGUGAGAAGAUCUGGUCACCAGCUGGGUGAAGGGCAGCUGUCCUCCUUCUCAGGGGUCCCUAACCUCUUCCCUCUGGGCUCCCUCUUUUAUUAAAUACAUUUAAUAAUAAUAACAAUAACUUCCACAAGUUGUGUGUCUCUGCUUUGCCUCCUGAUGUUUGAUGGAUGAGAUGUUGACAUGCCUUUUGCAGAGGUUUUGCAGAUCUCAGGCUACUACUACUUACAUUGUUUUUCCAAUAGAGGCCACUGUUUCCUAAGUAGAUUUAACAUUUAAAUGGCAACUGGCAUUUUUCUGUAGCGCUUUCUUUCAGGGUAUGGUACUGUGUUUAUCUAUGUUUUUGGUCUUCAUAUGCUGAAUAUAUUUGAGGAAAUGGUUUAUGCAAGGCUACUUACUUUGAGUAACAGCCUUCUUUAUCAGAAACUAUUUUGUGCACACAGCUCAGUUCUUAAGUGCCACUAGAGGGUGCUCCUUAUCUAUUUGAAGAGGUUUGCAGAUUCCCCAGACAGCAUCCAUAUCUUUUUAACUGCACUGAAAGUGAUCCUUAAGCUGGGCUUCUUCCACCCCACCAAGAAAAAGCCAAGGACAUUGACUUUGAUAGUGGAUGGUUAGGCAGAUCCUUAAGACUGUAAUCCAAAACCGUACUAGAACACAGGUUGUUUUUUUCUGGGAAAAGGGGGAAACUCACCACGAAGUUAGUGUUAGUUUGUGUAUUGUGGGCCCAGUCGCAGUGACACACACACACACACAGAGAGAGAGAGAGAGAGAGAGGGAGG